AAACAUUUAAACAUUUUUGAACGCAAACUCACAUUAACACUGAACCCGUGCGACCUUCUUUUAAAGAGCGCACCAUUACACUAAAUCUGUGCGACGCACCUGAAACGAACGCACCAUGGUUCGAGCGAGCUGUCAUUAUUUUUCAUUCGCGCAUGAUUGAUCCUGUUCGUGUCGCGCGUUUCGAGAGGAAAUUUCCGCGUAAAGUCGUGUGUCCCCGGGGAUGUGGAACAUCCCCGGCAUUUGUGCGUGUUCGCGGUGCUAAUAAUGGCCCCGAUCCCGGUGCUGGUUGGACAGUUCCGCCGGAAGACCGAAUCGGAAAGGUUCGGGGUUGGCGAAUAGGUGUUGCCGCUGUGAAGCAACAAUAUUUUUAGGGACACUUCUCCACGGUGGACCGGCUGCUGCUGCACACAUCCCGGACCGCCGUGGCGCGCCGAAAGUAUGUGUGGAAGCGCUGGCAAGGAGUGACUGCGUUCUCGGUGUAGGCUGGACCGCUGGAUAGAUCCACCGGAUGACGGAUCUAGUACGACUCAGGAAUGGUAACAAGGAGUUCAGCAACUACGUGGGCUUAUUUCACUGAGGAUUGUGCUUCUCGAUUACGCGAAUGUCCAUCCCAAGUACGAAGCAGUGAAUCCUGCACCGGCUACCGACAUUCCGGACAACGCCAAACAGUAACUGUUUGCUUGGCUGAUUGAAGCGGAAUCACAAAAGAAAACGACGCUAAAAAAAAGUGCUAAAUAAAGUGAAAAAAAUAAAAUACAAAUAAUAACGAUAAAAAUACUCAUUAUUUAUUGUAUUAUCCAUUAACUUCAAUGUCCAUUUAUAUUUUUUACCAUACAGUUUUGUGGAGAAAAAACAAUAAAUAAACGAUAAAACUUACUGUAGUUGUUAUUUAAUUCAAUGUACGGAUAUAGUUUUUACAGUACAUUUUGGUAGCGAAAAAACCACGAAGAACUGUAAAUUGACUGUGCAAUGCAUUGUAAUGCUUGCUGUUUUUAUUAUUAAUGUAUGAUGUUUUCUAUAGUCAGGACGAGUUUUUGGAUGAAAAAUGCAACAUUAGAUUAACAGUAAAAAGCGUCGUAUUUGGAAAAAAAUGUAUGGAAAAAUUUCGAAAUUUUUAUGGUACCGGUGCAUAACAACCCCCCUUUUUUAUGGUAAAAUCCCAAAAUACGACGCAAAUUAUCUUAAAAAACGAUGCUGUCUACUGUUAAAACACUGUCAAAAUGACAAUAUGUUUUAUCGUUUUGUAACGUUAAAAUUUACUGUAAGUUCAUCAGAA